rnacentral:rRNA from 1 species
GCGUGGGGAGCAAACAGGAUUAGAUACCCUGGUAGUCCACGCCGUAAACGAUGAUCAUUAGUUGGUGGAAUAAUUUCACAAACGCAGCUAACGCGUUAAAUGAUCCGCCUGAGUAGUAUGCUCGCAAGAGUGAAACUUAAAGGAAUUGACGGGAACCCGCACAAGCGGUGGAGCAUGUGGUUUAAUUUGACUCUACGCGUAGAACCUUACCCACUCUUGACAUCUUCUGCAAAGCUAUAGAGAUAUAGUGGAGGUUAACAGAAUGACAGAUGGUGCAUGGUUGUCGUCAGCUCGUGUCGUGAGAUGUUAGGUUAAGUCCUGCAACGAGCGCAACCCUUUUCUUUAGUUACUAAUAUUAAGUUAAGGACUCUAGAGAUACUGCCUGGGUAACCAGGAGGAAGGUGGGGACGACGUCAAAUCAUCAUGCCUCUUACGAGUGGGGCAACACACGUGCUACAAUGGUCGGUACAAAGAGAAGCAAUAUGGUGACAUGGAGCAAAUCUCAAAAAACCGAUCUCAGUUCGGAUUGAAGUCUGCAACUCGACUUCAUGAAGUCGGAAUCGCUAGUAAUCGUAGAUCAGCUACGCUACGGUGAAUACGUUCUCGGGUUUUGUACACACCGCCCGUCACACCAUGGGAGUUGGUAAUGCCCAAAGUCGGUGAGUUAACUUCGGAGACCAUUGCCUAAGGCAGGACUGAUGACUGGGGUGAAGUCGUAACAAGGUAUCCCUACGAGAACGUGGGGAUGGAACACCUCCUUUCUA